AAUGGGAAUUGAUCCAUUCCUAUCUCCUUGUACUAAGGUCAAAUCUAAGUGGAUCAAGGAACUCCACAUAAAACCAGAGACAGUGAAACUUAUAGAGGAGAAAGUGGGGAAAAGCCUCGAAAAUAUGGGCACAGGGGAAAAAUUCCUGAAUAGAACAGCAAUGGCUUGUGCUGUGAAGAUUGAGAAAUGGGACCUCGUAAAAUUGCAAAGCUUCUGUGAAGUGGACAUUUUAAGAGAACCUGUUAUCUUGACAUUUUCUACAGAAAGAACUACAAGGUCAUGAUAGUAAACUUUCUGUAUUCAAGAACAUAAAAGAGACCAAUAUGCCAAAAUGAUGAGAGAAGGAGAAUAAUAAGUGAUAACAUUGUUAUCACUGCGAAUUCAAUGACAUCUAGAAAUUGUACUCACAAGGCUUUUGAAGAACUGAUAUUUUUAAUUAAACCUAGUAAUACUAUAGGACUUCAGGUAUAUAUCUGCUUCAUAGUAUAUCUUUGGGUAUGAUUGGCAUAUACAUGAACAUACACAUUUAUACAAAGAAGAAAGAGAUAUAGGAAGAUAAUAAUGAUUAUUUUUUCUGAGGAAAGUUUUAUUCAUAACUGAAGUGGAAAGUUUUGGUUACAUAAUGGCAUCUAGAAUUUAAAUUCUGUUAAUGCCAUUUAUAAGAAAUGGGGCAGAGAUAGAAUAACUUGAUCUUAGAAAAAUAUUAGGUGAUAAAACUUCAAUUUUAAUUCAGGCAGUCAGGCUUUAUAGUUUAUAUUUAAGCUUCAUGCAAAGGAGAUAAAAAAUAUGUAAUUUUUGUCCAUAAUUAUUUAAUUACCCCUAAGUUGUGAAGGAAUCUCUGUGAGUGACUGGGGGGGAGGGCAAUGCAUUUAUUUUUUUUUUUUUUUGGAGUAACAUUUACUCAAGUUGUAGUCUGCUUUUUUUUCCCAAGAUUUAUUACUGUUCAUUUAUAUACUGUUCAUAUACAUUGGUUCAUUCACUAUUAUAUUUAUAAUUUUAGCAAUAUUAUCACAUACCUCACCAAUAGUAUUAAGAAGAUGUUGCCACUGGUAGGAUACCAGUGAAAUCUUCACUUGAUUUCUAAGAAAACAAGAUUGUGGCUUAUGUAGUAGUUCUGAGAAUCAACUUUUCUCUUGUGUUAGUCGAGGAGAUUCCUGCUGUGUCACAGACCUCAAAUACUUUUCUUCUGGGGAGAAAGCAAGUCAAGAAUGUAUGUUUAUUCCUCCUCAGAUUUCUGUUAACAUCUCCCAGGGGAAGUUUUAGUCACUCUCUAGCUGUACAUCUGACAUUCUGUUACUCUGAAUAAAUUGUAUCAAAUGAAUAGUCAUGAAGCUACAGGUAAAAUGUCCAAGGGAUAAGUACAUUCUUUUUCAUUUUUAACGCGCUGCCACAAAUUUCCAUAUAUGCUGUUUAUCAUUUUUUCCUGUUUAUAAGGUUUUCUUUUUAAAGCAAUGACAUACCUUUUGAUAAUUCAUACAUUCUUAAGGGCAUUUCAGAAAACCAUUUUGAAAAAUAUGUCAUCAAAAGAUUUGGAUGAAUUCUAGGUAGGGAAAUAAGAUACAUGUAGAUAGGAGGCUUGUGGAUAGGAGGCUUGUUUAACGCUUACUUGCAUGAGUCUGAACUGGCGGGCAACUUGGAAUAUUGGGCAGCACUGUUUCAUACAGUUGUUCAGGGACCUUGCACCUUCUAUUUUCCCAUUCUUCCAUCUCCAGUGAUUGUGUUCUGUCUGAGAGAUGAAUCUGGAUUAUCAUGUAACAGUCACAUCUGCUUUGUGGGGAAAACCAAAACAAAAAAAUGAAAUUUG
ensembl:sense_intronic